AGUAACGCGUAGGUAACCUGCCUUGUAGCGGGGGAGUAACUAUUGGAAACGAUAGCUAAUACCGCAUAACAAUGGGUGACUCAUGUCAUUUAUUUUGAAAGGGGCGAAAUGCUCCACUACAAGAUGGACCUGCGUUGUAUUAGCUAGUAGGUGAGGUAACGGCUCACCUAGGCGACGAUACAUAGCCGACCUGAGAGGGUGAUCGGCCACACUGGGACUGAGACACGGCCCAGACUCCUACGGGAGGCAGCAUG
rnacentral:rRNA from 1 species